rnacentral:ncRNA from 2 species
AAGAGGGAACCCGGUGCGAAUCCGGGACUGCCCCGCAGCGGUAUGGGGGAACGAGCGUCGCCAUAAGCACUGGUGAUCCGGUCGCAAAGGCCGGGAACCGGGAAGCGGCGGCCAGUAGGAGGAGCGGUGUCCGCACCGCCCGCGCCCCCGAGUCCGAAGACCU